AUACAUCGGACGUACCAGUUGUGGGGGAUAGCCCGGCGAAAGCCGGAUUAAUACCGCAUACGACCUGAGGGUGAAAGGGGGGGAUCGCAAGACCUCUCGCAGUUGGAGCGGCGAUGGCGGAUACUAGUUGGUGAGGUAAAGGCUCACCAAGGCGACGAUCCGACUGGUCUGAAGGACGACCAGCCACACUGGAACUGAGACACGGUCCAGACUCCUACGGGAGGCAGCAGUGGGGAAUUUUGGACAAUGGGGGCAACCCUGAUCCAGCCAUUCCGCGUGAGUGAAGAAGGCCUUCGGGUUGUAAAGCUCUUUCGGCAGGAACGAAACGGUGGGGGCUAAUAUCCCCUGCUAAUGACGGUACCUGAAGAGGAAGCCCGGUUAAUACGUGCCACACCGGGUAAUACUAGGUGCGAGCGUUAAUCGGAAUUACUGGGCGUNAAAAGCCGUGCGCCAAGGGCGGGUUCCUAAUAAGACCAGGAUUGGUUGAAAUCCCCCCGGGGGGUUUUAAACCCUGGGGAAACUUGGCUUUUUCGGACUUGGGAUUGGGCUUGGAANGUNGCGGCACAGGGGGGGANUGGACAAUCCCCGGUUGAUACCCAU
rnacentral:rRNA from 1 species